AGAGGUGUGAGCCAUUGUGCCUGGCCUCAGGUUCUUUCUAUAAAAUGGUGUAGUAUUGAGCACACCACAUGGGGUUUGCCGCCGGAGCUGUCUCCGGUCGGUGUCCAGUUUGAUUUUGAGUCUAGGUUGGAGUUGGAACCGUGGAGAUGCGAAAGGAAACCCCGCCUCCCCUAGUGCUCCCGGCGGCCUGGGAGUGGAACCUUCCCCCUAGUGCGCCAGCUUGCGUGGAACUGCAGUUGGAGGCUGCGCGGUAAGGGUCCGAUGGGGUGCUUCUCCUCGGGGCCUCCAGCUUGAGUGGCCGCUGCUGGGCUGGCUCCCUCUGGGUUUUUAAGGACCCUGUGCUGCCCCCAACAAAGGCUUCCACUCCGCCGGAGUCCAAACGGAGACUGGAGUGGCUGACCUCACUUGGGCUGGGGAGAGAGGUAUUGUAGCGGCCCCCGAUUCAGGUGUGGUUGAAUUGUGGAAACUGGAUGAGAAUGAGACAGUUAUGAGACAAGUAUGAGCAUGAUGACAUUGUGUCUACAGUCAGCGUCCUGAGCUCUGCCACACAAGCCGUCAGUGGUAGUAAAGACUUCUGCAUCAAGGUUUGGGACCUUGCUCAGCAGAUGGUACUGAAUUCAUACCGAGCUCAUGCUGAGCAGGUCACCCAUGUUGCUGCUUCUCCCCACGACGAUUCUGUGUUUCUUUCAUGCAGUGAGGACAAUAAAAUUUUAUUUGGGAUACCCGCUGUCCCAAGCCAGCGUCACGGAUUGGCUGCAGUGCCUCUGGCUGCCUUCCUACCUCCCUGGCUUGGCAUCCUCAGCAAAGUGAAGUCUUUGUCUUUGGUGAUGAAAAUGGGAUGGUCUCCCUUGUCGACACCAAGAGCACAAGCUGUGUCCCGACCUCAGCUGUCCACUCCCGGUGUGUCACUGGGCUGCUGUUCUCCCCACACAGUGUUCCUUUCCUGGCCUCUCUCAGUGAAGACUUCUCACUUGCGGUGCUGGACUCCAGCCUUGCUGAGGUGUCUAGAAGCGGAGCCCACAGAGACUUUGAAGAGUUGCUACUUGGUCCCCGCUCAAUCACUCGCUGUUUACCGCAGUGGGCUGGGACCAUCAGGUCGUCCACCACAUUGUGCCCACAGAACCUCUCCCAGCCCUUGGACCUGCGAGUGUUGCUGAAUAGAUUGGAUUUAAGACAAAAAGCAAGUCUCCCAUGAGUGUCCACUUCUUUGCCCUGCCCCCUCAACUUGUGAGUCAACACAGGAGCCUUCUAUAGUAUGCUGUUACUAGGUUUCUGCCAUUAAUAGGCAUCAUCUCUCAGCCUGAGGGAGGCUGGAUUCUGGGAUCCUGUAGUUACAGGGAGGAAAAGCUUUCUUAAAAAUGGACAUGUACGUGCGUCUGAGCAUGUGUGUAGAGCUGUAGUUUUUGGUGGUGGCAGGAAGAAAAAAUCCAUCCUACACCUUCCCUAAGCACUGCUUAUCCCUCACCACCAAAAACAGUUGACAAAAGGACUUUAUGCUUCCCAUGUAGCUGUCUAUGAGAAAUUGGCCAUGUCUGGGUGGGUUAUGGAUGUGGGUAUCCCUCAGUUCUCGGAAGCAGCUCUUAUGCUUCUCAUAGAGAUGGGAUUGAUUUUACGUUUUUAUAGUGCUUAACUCACUAUUAUGAGAAAUUCUUCCAGUCACAAAAAUCCAGCCAAGUUCACUUUGAGGAAGAAGCAGGACUUGGUAUGGUUUUACACAACUCCUUGCAAUUAAACUGAAUUGGAAAUCCAUUUUCUGGCUGAAUAAAAAGUUUGGCUUGCCACUCCCAUCGCCCCGGCUUUCCAGUGGUGGGGCAUAUACAGAUAUUAGAAAGGAGUGUUUUUCUGUCAUAGAUGCCAUGGGGGAAAAUUUGGGGAUGAAGGAUAGCUUAAAGGCAUUUCAAUUAAGUUAGAAGACUGACACAGACUAUUGAGAAAUCUUUGCCACUUUUCCCACCCCAAAAUAGCCUGGGGCCUGACAUCUUCUGCCCUGGGCUCCUUUCUCUUGAUGUGAAAAGUCUGAAUGCAAUACUUGUAGACUUUUAAGGUUUUAAAAUCCAACAUCAGGAAGAAAAUCAGAAAUACUGGUUGGUGAAAUAAAGAGUUUAGGCAUUGUU